UCUCCACGCCCCCCGCACCCCCCCCCCACUCUCUCUUCAAUAAUAUCUCCGCAUAAUUCACGGCAAAAUCCCAAAAGAAAAUCCCCAUGUGCGUUUGGAUCGGUCCAGACUUCCCCAUUUCUCUUCAAAUUCCAGCUCCAUAAACCCUAGAUUCGAAUCCCGACUUCUUUUACUUCUUGAAAGUUCGAUCCUUUGAAGGGAGAAAACCCUAGCUUUCAAAGUGAACCUUGGGUGAAUCGGAUCCAUCGAUCGGUUGCUGUGGAAAUAUAGGUCAGUGGUGGAUGAGUUUGACUAGCAGCUGAGGGAAAUGGGUUUCUGGACUGAUUUUUUUGAGGUUUAGAGUUUUGAUUCGGACUGAGAAAGAUCCUAUUUUUUGCUCAAUUUGCUCGGUUCUCGCAAAGGUUUUCGUUUGGAAUCGCGACACGUUUGGUGAUUCUUUGUGAAAAUGAGUAGCAAAAGGGAGGAGGAGAGAAAUGAGAAGAUCAUUAGAGGUCUCUUAAAGCUUCCUCCGAACAGAAAGUGCAUCAAUUGCAACAGCCUGGGUCCGCAGUAUGUGUGUACAACUUUUUGGACUUUUGUCUGUAUGACUUGCAGCGGGAUUCAUCGGGAAUUUACACACCGUGUGAAAUCGGUGUCCUUGGCUAAGUUUACUACUCAAGAAGUUGAGGCUCUUCAAAAGGGUGGUAAUCAGCGUGCCAGGGAAAUAUUUCUGAAGGACUGGGACUCGCAACAAAUGAGAUUACCUGAUAGCAGCAAUGUUGACAAGAUUAGGGAAUUUAUAAAAAAUGUUUAUGUGGAUAAGAAAUAUGCGAGGGGGAGGUCCUCAGACAAGCCACCCAGAGACACGCAGGUUUUCAUUCUCUGGAAGAGCCAUAAGUACCAUGAAGAAGAACACCGGAGGGCCAGUUCCUAUCAUUCCUUUUCUCAGAGUCCACCUUAUGAAAAUCAAUAUGAAGAAAGGCGCUAUGGGAAGCAAACUGGGAUUUUAAGUAGAAAACCUGGUUCAGAUCGUGGGUAUUAUGAAGGGAAGGUUUCUAGCUUCAUAUACAGUCCAGGUCGUCAGGGAGAGCAAAUGUAUGAGGACAGAUUUGCCAAUGAAAGUUAUGCUUCGAGAAAUUCGGACUACUCAGUGUCUAGCACAGGCGAUCCAUUGAGAUUUGAUGGUCAGUCACCAAACUUUCAGGACAUAGGGUAUAGCAGCCCUCCUUUACAACAAGUAAGGGAUAUCUUAAUCGAAGAUGGACAGCCCCGGACGACAUUGAAUACAUACUCCGAGGCAAAUGUUAAGAGGGGCUUAGAUGGGAUCCCACACCCACAGACAACUGCAUCAUCAGGCAGCUUUGGAUCCAUUGAGAGAAACUCGAUAUCUCUUAAGCCAGCUAAUUCAGGCAGCUUGAUUGAUACUGUCCUUGAGACCAAACAUGCAUCUGUAACCCCACAAUCCGAGCCAUCCACAUCUCCCUCUUCACAGUUAUCUGCUUCUGCACAUGCCAUGAAUCAGGACCCCUUCAGUCUGUCAAUUGUGCAGCAACCAAUCACUUCUGCAACUCCAUCUAUAGAUUUGUUUGCACAUAUCAAUGAUCAGUCUUCAUCUACUACCCCUUCUGAGCAGAAAACGUCGGCUGUUCUUUUAUCAGAAAAUGUUGGAUGGGCUACAUUUGACUUACCUCACCAAGUGGGACCUACUUUUGAAACAACUAAGGGGCUUCCAUCAGUCGUGCCUCCUGGUGAAGAGCCACCUAAAGGGAAGAAUGAUUUAUUUGCAUCAGUAAGUAAUGACUUGCAAUGGUUUUCAAUACAAAAUUCUGCUACCUGUGGAACUUCAUCCUCGAUAGCUGAUCAGCAGCAUGUGAGUUUACAUGAAGUUAAAGGAUUUGCAGACACAAACAGCUCUCAGUCUUGGAAUGCUUUUGAUGAUUCGACUUGGAAUAUUCAUCAAACUUCAUUGGGGGCUUUACUACAGACCACUGAGCCACAGAUUCCUGUGCAUAACCAUCCUGCAUCUGCUGAUCAGUUUAUUGGUUUGAAGGUUUCAGAGGUGCCUGCCACGGGUGGCUUGCAAAAAUCAGCCAUAGAUGAACUCACAGCUUUCGAUGUGUCAUUUAGCGGUGUGGCUGGUUCAUCCUUUUCUUCAUCCGUUCCGCCUUUGAUGGUAUGGUGGGACUACUCAAGAACGAAAAUCAACAAAUCCCUUUGACCUCCCAUAUGACUCAGAGCCAGAAGCUAGCAAUAUGUUUUUGGACAUGAGCUCACUGCAAGCAACCUUGCCAAAUCAACAGUUGCCUAAUGCUUUCCUUGGAGGUUUGUCUCAAACAUGGUUUCCUCAGAAUUCAGUGCCAACAUACGUUCCUGCUGUAACUCAAGGUCUAGCAUUUAUGCCCGGACAUGUUUCAGGAUCCCAGUUGCCGAACAUACCUGCACAAGGCCCCGUAUCAUCUCUUGGGGGGAAUCCCUUUGCAUAGGAAAGUGAGCAAUAACAUUUACUAUGGGCAUUUUGAUGGUGGCAUUUGCUUUCCUCAUUUUCAGCAUGAUCAUUGGUUUAUACAAAUCAGGCGCAUGUGAUAUUUCUCUUGUAUUCAUUAUGCAAUAGAACUUUUACCAGCGAGGUUGCAAUGAGUGAAUUUAGGAAAACUUGGAUAACCUGAAGUAGUUUCUUUUGUUUUAAUGCUUACCGGCUGCAUUCUUUAUCGGCUUGGGUGGACCUAAAUAUGCAUGUCGACUUGAGAAGAUGGGGCAUAUGCGGCUCCAGUCUUUGCACAACUUAUAUUGCCUCCGUGCCAAGGUUGUGCAUAGUCUUGUUACAUGUCUUUUUGAUAGUUAAGACAGUCGUACUGGUUUUAUUCUAGGAAUUCCAUGCAGUUUGCUAAUUUCUUUUGCUUCAGAGCAUCAUUUGUUGAGGCUAUUAUGGCAUUAUGGGUUAAGAUUUAGUUCAUGAAGUGGUCUAUCUGCGUCCGCCUUAUUUACUGCUACUAGUUCAUGAUGACCUCAUCCUAAUUCCUCAUUUGUCGUACAUUAUGUGUUCCUGUUGAAGUUUAAUCAAGAUAAGGUUACUAA